rnacentral:rRNA from 1 species
UCCGGAGGGUGCAAGCGUUGUUCGGAUUUAUUGGGCGUAAAGGGCGUGUAGGCGGUUCGUUAAGUCUGAUGUGAAAGCCCCGGGCUCAACCCGGGAAGUGCAUUGGAAACUGGCGAACUUGAGUACGGGAGAGGGCAGUGGAAUUCCUAGUGUAGGAGUGAAAUCCGUAGAUAUUAGGAGGAACACCGGUGGCGAAGGCGGCUGCCUGGACCGAUACUGACGCUGAGACGCGAAAGCGUGGGGAGCAAACAGG